rnacentral:rRNA from 1 species
AUUGAACGCUGGCGGCAUGCUUUACACAUGCAAGUCGAACGGUAACAGGCCGCAAGGUGCUGACGAGUGGCGAACGGGUGAGUAAUGCAUCGGAACGUGCCCAGUCGUGGGGGAUAACUACUCGAAGGAGUAGCUAAUACCGCAUACGAUCUAUGGAUGAAAGCGGGGGACCGUAAGGCCUCGCGCGAUUGGAGCGGCCGAUGUCAGAUUAGGUAGUUGGUGGGGUAAAGGCUCUCCAAGCCAACGAUCUGUAGCUGGUCUGAGAGGACGACCAGCCACACUGGGACUGAGACACGGCCCAGACUCCUACGGGAGGCAGCAGUGGGGAAUUUUGGACAAUGGGCGCAAGCCUGAUCCAGCAAUGCCGCGUGCAGGAAGAAGGCCUUCGGGUUGUAAACUGCUUUUGUACGGAACGAAACGGCUCUGGUUAAUACCCGGGGCUAAUGACGGUACCGUAAGAAUAAGCACCGGCUAACUACGUG